rnacentral:rRNA from 1 species
UACGUAGGGGGCAAGGCGUUGUCCGGAUUUAUUGGGCGUAAAGAGCGUGUAGGCGGCCGCACAGGUCCGUUGUGAAAACUGGAGGCUUAACCUUCAGACGUCGAUGGAGACCGUGCGGCUAGAGUCCGGAAGAGGAGAAUGGAAUUCCUGGUGUAGCGGUGAAAUGCGCAGAUAUCAGGAAGAACACCCGUGGCUAAGGCGGUUCUCUAGUACGGUACUGACGCUGAGACGCGAAAGCGUGGGGAGCGAACAGG